GGUGGGUUUGUAAACCUCCAAGGUGUAAGGAAGCUGACGAGAAAGAACCCCUCUCCAUGGGGUGUAUUGUUGACCGACCUUGAGCUUAUGCGAAGGGUUUGAGUGCGAGCACACCUGUUAGGACCCAAAAGAUGGUGAACUAUGCCUGAGUAGGGCGACGCCAGAGGAAACUCUGGUGGAGGCUCAUAGUGAUAUUGACGUGCAAAUCAUUCGUCUGACUUGGGUAUAGGGGUGAAAGACUAAUUGAACCAUCUAGUAUCUAGUUUCCUCUGAAGUUUCCCUCAAGAUAGCUGGAGCUCAUAUGCAAGUUUUAUCGGGUAAAGAAAAUGAUUAGAGGCAUCAAGGGCGUAAUGCCCUCAACCUAUUCUCAAAAUUUAAAUAGGUAAGAUAGCGCGGCUGCUCCAUUGAUUCGUGCCAUGGAAUCGAGAGCUCCAAGUGGGCCAUUUUUGGUAAGAAGAACCGGCGAUGCGGGAUGAACUGAAAGUCGAGUUACGGUGCCAAAUUGCACGCUAACCUAGAUCCCACAAAGGGUGUUGGUUUAUUAAGACAGUAGGACGGUGGUCAUGGAAGUCGAAAUCCACUAAGGAGUGUGUAACAACUCACCUGCCGAAUCAACUAGCCCCGAAAAUGGAUGGCGCUAAAGCACGUGACCUAUACUCGACCAUCGAAGUAAUUGCUAGGAUUCGAUGAGUAGGAGGAUGCAGGGGUCAUUGAGAAACUUUGGGCGUGAGCCUGGGUGGACCGGUCCCUGGUGCAGAUCUUUGUGGUAGUAGAAAAUAUUCAAAUGAGAACUUUGAAGACUGAAUUGGGGAAAGGUUCCAUGUGAACAACACUUGGACAUGGGUUAGUCGAUCCUAAGAGAUGGGGAAGCCCUGUAUCAAGGGUGCACUCUACACGAACAAUGAAAGGGAAUCGGGUUAAUAUUCCCGAAUCGGGACAUGGGGGUGGACGACAACGUUAGGAAAUCCGGAGACGUCAUCAGGGGCCCCAGGAAGAGCUAUCUUUUCUUUUUAAUAGCUUUCCCACCCUGAAAUCGGCUCAACCGGAGAUAGGGUCCAACAGCUGGAAGAGCAUCGCACGUCUUGCUGUGUCCAAUGCACCCUUGGCGGCCAUUGAAAAUUUGGAGGACCGAGCACCGUCCAUGCCUGAUCAUACUCAUAACCACAUCAGGUCUCUAAGGUGAACAACCUCUGGUCAAUAAGAUAAUGUAGGUAAGGGAAGUCGACAAAACAGAUCCAUAACUUCAGGAAAAGGAUUGGCUCUGAGGACUGGGCCUAGGGGUCUGCAUCCUCAACCCGUGGACUGUCAGCAGUCUGCCCGAGCUUCCAUCGUAGCGAGGGAGGGCAGUCGCGUGUUGAUUAGGCUACGGACGUAGAAUGUCCUCUCGCAGGGGAUUUUCCCUAGGCGGUGAACAGUCGACUUAGAACUGGUACGGACAAGGGGUGAUCAGAAAUCGGAUCCAGAAGUCUGACAGGGUUUAAAAAUGCUCAAAAAUGAAAGUGCUUGGAAUGCGAUGAAACCAAAUAGGUAAAAAGUCAAAGUUCAACUAGUUAAAAAGUCAAUGCUGAUGGCAACAUGACAUCAGCAUGCUGACUGU
rfam:Picea glauca, whole genome shotgun sequence.